GGGCUCGUAGCUCAGUGGCAGAGCGCUUGCAUCACACGCAAGAAGUCGUUGGUUCAAAUCCAAUCGAGCCCA
rfam:Candidatus Wildermuthbacteria bacterium RIFCSPHIGHO2_01_FTLL_48_27b rifcsphigho2_01_scaffold_5555, whole genome shotgun sequence.